rfam:Triticum aestivum genome assembly, contig: Triticum_aestivum_CS42_TGACv1_scaffold_147160_2BS
AUUGUACUCCCUCCGUCCCAAAAUUCUUGUCUUAGAUUUGUCUAAAUACGGAUGUAUCAAGUCACAUUUUAUAUUAGAUACAUCCGUAUCUAGACAAAUCUAAGACAAGAAUUCUGGGAUGGAGGGAGUAGUAC